rnacentral:rRNA from 1 species
GUGGGGAAUAUUGGGCAAUGGGCGCAAGCCUGACCCAGCAACGCCGCGUGAAGGAAGAAGGCUUUCGGGUUGUAAACUUCUUUGACAGGGGACGAAACAAAUGACGGUACCCUGAAAACAAGCCACGGCUAACUACGUGCCAGCAGCCGCGGGAAUACGUAGGUGGCAAGCGUUAUCCGGAUUUACUGGGUGUAAAGGGCGUGUAGGCGGGAUUACAAGUCAGAUGUGAAAACUAUGGGCUCAACCCAUAGACUGCAUUUGAGACUGUAGUUCUUGAGUGAUGGAGAGGCAGACGGAAUUCCUCGUGUAGCGGUGAAAUGCGUAGAUAUGAGGAGGAACACCAGUGGCGAAGGCGGUCUGCUGGACAUUAACUGACGCUGAGGCGCGAAAGCGUGGGGAGCAAACAGGAUUAGAAACCCGGGUAGUCC